GUGCGACUAUCGCAACAAUUGCUACUCUUUUCAAACAAAAUUCGAAUGACGGUGUAUUUUCCCUAAUUCCAUUUUUCCUUACAGACUAUUGUUAAAAAAAUUUGGAGAAACUUUAGCUGUCUGUGAUUUGCUCGAAGUAAGAUCACGUGGUUGACCAACAACGCCACGAGAUUUUGCGAAAGUUGAGGGUGAGAUCUGCACUUCCUUUGGUGGCACGGGCAACCAUAUUCGUGAAACCGAUACCAAGCCGCAGCAAUUUGUAAUCGUCAUCAGCAGUCAGAGGUUCGGGGGUCAGUCCACUUAGGUGAAGACAUUUCCCUAGAAUACAAGAACCAAAUUUAAUUAUUAUAAUUCUCUUA
rnacentral:misc_RNA from 1 species